rnacentral:rRNA from 1 species
UACAGAGGUCCCGAGCGUUGUUCGGAUUUACUGGGCGUAAAGGGAGCGUAGGCGGUUUGGUGUGUCGAAUGUGAAAGCCCGCAACUCAACUGCGGAAUGGCAUUCGAAACUACCAGGCUAGAGUACUGGAGAGGAGAGCGGAAUUCUUGGUGUAGCGGUGAGAUGCGUAGAUAUCAAGAGGAACACCGGUGGCGAAGGCGGCUCUCUGGACAGAUACUGACGCUGAGGCUCUAAAGUUAGGGGAGCAAACAGGAUUAGAUA